UACGUAGGGGGCAAGCGUUGUCCGGAAUUAUUGGGCGUAAAGAGCGUGUAGGCGGCCAGAUAAGUCCGCUGUGAAAUCUCGAGGCUCAACUUCGAGCUGUCGGUGGAAACUAUCUGGCUAGAGUCCGGAAGAGGAGAAUGGAAUUCCUGGUGUAGCGGUGAAAUGCGCAGAUAUCAGGAGGAACACCGGUGGCGAAGGCGGUUCUCUGGGCAUGAUCUGACGCUGAGGAGCGAAAGUGUGGGGAGCGAACAGG
rnacentral:rRNA from 1 species